UCACAUCCAGCUGCACAAAAGACAACUGGAUCGUUCUAUCUGCUUGCUCACGUGUCAGAUAGAUACUGGAAACACCACCGUAAUUUAAUGGACGGGAGAACAAGGAUGUUUUAAUGAAUGCAUAGAAAGUUUGUCUUCAGUUUUUUUUGGAAGUCCAUCCAGACAGGAGUUUUAAUUUUCUGAAGAAUUAAGAAAGAAUUUCACAGACAAAUGAACCCUGAAUUUGUUUGAAGAUAAAAGUCCUGCUCUGCAUUAAUGUUGGACAAUGAAAGGAUUGCAGGUAUCAAUCUUGAAUGCACUCCCCAAUAAAAGUCCUGCUUGUAAAUCUCCACCUCUGUUUGUUUUUCUGGGAAGCAUAACCAAAACUAUUGGUGCCAGGAAUGGUCCAUGGAAGGAGGCUCUUAAGUGAGGUCUGGAACUGGGUCACCAGCUGGCCUGUGGUCGAUGUGGACACCAUCACUCCAGCCUGAACCUGCAUUUUGCUUGAUAACAUCCAGGUUCCUGCUUCACCCUGGAGUGAGCUUUCCUUACCAACCUUUUUAAAGACAGUUCCAGUAAAAACAUAAUUGCUAAACAAAGAACUGAACAUUGAAUGGGGACAAUUUGAUGAGUUUGGACAUCUGCAAACACUUCUAACACCAUCACUUGAUCAAGAUAACAGACGGCCCACACCUCCCAGAGUCUCCUUGUC